GUGUAUAUUAUUUUGUAAAGGUCACUGUAUAUUUCUCGGCUUAAGGUCAAUUCGUUUACCUUGUAGCUAUUUAGCCGCAGGUGUGAGUUCAAGCGUACACAGGUAUAAAUGUUGUUAUUUGGAAAGGAUAAACCGAGAAAGGGUUAGAAAGAGUAUGAUGUCACGAUGUUAAUACACUAAGAUUUAAUACACGAUGAAAAUAAAGAUACAAUAAUUAAAUUGUGUAAAUUAAUUGAAAAUGAAAUUCAGAUUCGUAAUUCCGAAAGUGUAUAAAAAUGAAAGGAAAC
rnacentral:lncRNA from 1 species